ACCGGGACCUGCAUUCGAAACGGCCAGGCCGGAGUCUGAGAGGGGGGAGAAUUCAAGGGAACGGUGAAAUGCGUAGAGAUCGGAGGAAACCGGUGGCGAAGCGGCCCCCCUGGACAAAGACUGACGCUAAGGUGCGAAAGCGUGGGGAGCAAACAGGAUAAGAUACCUGGUAGUCCACGCUGUAAACGAGUCGACUGGAGGUGUGUUCCCUGAGGAGUGGCUUCCGGAGCUAACGCGUUAAGUCGACCGCCUGGGGAGUACGGCCGCAAGGUUAAAACUCAAAUGAAUGACGGGGGCCCGCACAAGCGGUGGAGCAUGUGGUUUAAUUCGAUGCAACGCGAAGAACCUAACCUACUCUUGACAUCCAGAGAACUUAGCAGAGAUGCUUUGGUGCCUUCGGGAACUCUGAGACAGGUGCUGCAUGGCGUGUCAGCUCGUGUUGUGAAAUGUUGGGUUAAGUCCCGCAACGAGCGCAACCCUUAUCCUUUGUUGCAGCGUCCGGCCGGGAACUCAAAGGAGACUGCCAGUGAUAAACU
rnacentral:rRNA from 1 species